rnacentral:rRNA from 1 species
UGGGGAAUAUUGCACAAUGGGCGCAAGCCUGAUGCAGCCAUGCCGCGUGUGUGAAGAAGGCCUUCGGGUUGUAAAGCACUUUCAGCGAGGAGGAAGGGUAGUGUGUUAAUAGCACAUUGCAUUGACGUUACUCGCAGAAGAAGCACCGGCUAACUCCGUGCCAGCAGCCGCGGUAAUACGGAGGGUGCAAGCGUUAAUCGGAAUUACUGGGCGUAAAGCGCACGCAGGCGGUUUGUUAAGUCAGAUGUGAAAUCCCCGCGCUUAACGUGGGAACUGCAUUUGAAACUGGCAAGCUAGAGUCUUGUAGAGGGGGGUAGAAUUCCCAGGUG